AAUUGGACUUGGGCGUAAUUUUUAACAAAAAUGGUUAAAUAAUUUCUCCCUCAUUAAGUCCUAAAUAAACUAAUACUUGAUAGACUCACAAAUUAUGUAAUUUUUGAGUUUGAGUACGUAUCACACAUUUU
rnacentral:snoRNA from 1 species